AUACUUACCUGGCGUCGGGAUUACGAUGAUCAACAAGGUCGUUUCCCCUGGUCUAGGCCCAUGGCAUUGCACUACGCUUGGGCUGAAACCGGCGAUUUUUCCUAAUGCGAAAAACUCGGGCGUAAAAUUUUUGUUAGCAGGGAUAAGCGUUCGCGCUGUCCCUAA